rnacentral:rRNA from 1 species
CGCCUGUUUAUCAAAAACAUCUCUUUACAAAUUUAUGUAAAGUAGGCUCUGCUCAGUGAUAUAAAAAUUAUACAGCCGCAGUAUCCUAACUGUGCUAAGGUAGCAUAAUAACUUGUCUUAUAAUUGAAGACUGGAAUGAAAGAGUUAAUGAUAUUAAAGCUUUUUUUAUUUAAAAAAUAAAACUUGGUAUUUACAUCAAAAAAUGUAGAUUUUUAAAGGGACGAUAAGACCCUAUAAAGCUUAAUUAAACAAUUAUUAAUUCAGAAUUUUGAAUAAAAAAUUAGAAAAAUAUUUUUAAUUUAGCUGGGGCGGCAUCUAAUUUACUCAAAAGAAUAAAUAACAGUAUUUCUUGAAAUAUAAGAUCUUAUAAAAAAACUAAAACAAGCUACUUUAGGGAUAACAGCACAAUUUUUUAAUAUAGACCUUAUUGACUAAAAAGACUUGUGACCUCGAUGUUGAAUUGAGAUGUCUAAUUUAAGCAAAAAUAAAUUUAGAAGGUCUGUUCGACCUGUAAUCUCUCACGUGAUCUGAGUUCAGACCGGA